CCUACGGGAGGCAGCAGUGGGGAAUUUUGCGCAAUGCUCGUAAGAGUGACGCAGCGACGCCGCGUGAAUGACGAAGGCCUUCGGGUCGUAAAGUUCUUUCGACAGGGAAGAAAAUGCAUAUAAGUAACUGUGUAUGUAUUGACGGUACCUGUAUAAGCAGACCCGGCUAACUCCGUGCAAGCAGCCGCGGUAAUACGGAGGGGGCGAGCGUUGGUCGGAGUGGCUGGGCGUAAAGAGCACGUAGGCGGUGUUGUAAGUCAGUAGUCAAGGAAUAGAGCUCAACUUUAGUAAGGCUAGUGAUACUAUAAUACUAGAGUAUCAGAGAGGAUUGCAGAAUUCCUGGUGUAGCGGUGAAAUGCGUAGAUAGCAGGAGGAAUACCGUUAGCGAAGGCGGCAAUCUGGCUGGAAACUGACGCUGAGGUGCGAAAGCGUGGGUAGCAAACAGGAUUAGAUACCCGGGUAGUC
rnacentral:rRNA from 1 species